rnacentral:tRNA from 1 species
GGAGGGGUGCCGGAGCGGCCGAUCGGAAUCGCCUUGAAAGCGAUCGUAGGGAAACCUACCGGGGGUUCGAAUCCCUCCCCCUCUG